rnacentral:ncRNA from 1 species
AAAACGGCCCUUUUCAGGGCCACCAAAUUUAUAUAUUCAUUCAAGU